rnacentral:rRNA from 1 species
GUGAGGAAUAUUGGACAAUGGGCGAGAGCCUGAUCCAGCCAUGCCGCGUGCAGGAAGACGGCCCUAUGGGUUGUAAACUGCUUUUGUACGGGAAGAAACACCCCCUCGUGAGGGGGCUUGACGGUACCGUAAGAAUAAGGAUCGGCUAACUCCGUGCCAGCAGCCGCGGUAAUACGGAGGAUCCGAGCGUUAUCCGGAAUCAUUGGGUUUAAAGGGUCCGUAGGUGGACGGUUAAGUCAGAGGUGAAAUCCUGCAGCUCAACUGUAGAAUUGCCUUUGAUACUGGUCGUCUUGAGUCAUUGUGAAGUGGUUGGAAUAUGUAGUGUAGCGGUGAAAUGCAUAGAUAUUACAUAGAACACCGAUUGCGAAGGCAGAUCACUAACAAUGUACUGACACUGAUGGACGAAAGCGUGGGGAGCGAACAGGAUUAGAAACCCCGGUAGUCC